rnacentral:rRNA from 1 species
AUUGAACGCUAGCGGGAUGCCUUACACAUGCAAGUCGAACGGAGUGGCGAAAGGGUGAGUAAUGUAACGGAACGUGCCCAGGAGCGGGGGAUAACUACGCGAAAGCGUAGCUAAUACCGCAUACUAUUGGAGCGGCAGAUAACGGAUUAGCUAGUUGGUGGGGUAACGGCCCACCAAGGCGACGAUCAGUAGCUGGUUUGAGAGGACGACCAGCCACAUUGGGACUGAGACACGUCCCAGACUCCUGCGGGAGGCAGCCGUGGGGACUUUGGGACAAUGGGGGAAUCCCUGAUUCAGCCAUCCCGCGUGUGCGAUGAAGGCCUUCGGGUUGUAAAGCACUUUUGGCAGGUAAGCGGUACCUGCAGAAUAAGCACCGGCUAACUACGUGCCAGCAGCCGCGGUAAUAC